rnacentral:rRNA from 1 species
GACGAACGCUGGCGGCGCGCCUAACACAUGCAAGUCGAACGGAGCUGCGAGAAGCUUGCUUUUCUUAGCUUAGUGGCGAACGGGUGAGUAACGCGUGAGUAACCUGCCCUGGAGUGGGGGGCAACAGUUGGAAACGACUGCUAAUACCGCAUAAGCCCACGAUCCGGCAUCGGAUUGAGGGAAAAGGAUUUAUUCGCUUCAGGAUGGACUCGCGUCCAAUUAGCUAGUUGGUGAGGUAACGGCCCACCAAGGCGACGAUUGGUAGCCGGACUGAGAGGUUGAACGGCCACAUUGGGACUGAGACACGGCCCAGACUCCUACGGGAGGCAGCAGUGGGGGAUAUUGCACAAUGGGGGAAACCCUGAUGCAGCGACGCCGCGUGGAGGAAGAAGGUUUUCGGAUUGUAAACUCCUGUCGUUAGGGACGAUAAUGACGGUACCUAACAAGAAAGCACCGGCUAACUACGUG